AAAGAAAAGAAGAAAGAAAGAAAGAAAGGAAGGAAGGAAGAAAGGAAGGAAGAAAAGUGCCCCCCUUAUAGUCAUAUAACCAAAAACAAGUCCAGAUUUAAAUUCUCUACUUGAUGUUCCCUGUGUCUUCCAUCUGUAUAAGAAUCCUAAGGCUGGAAGGAAUGCCAGCUAUCAAGUAGACUAAUAUGGUUUGAUCAAGCAAGACCCCCGGAAGCAGUGACCCAACUGAUCCUACAUUCAAAACAGCUGGGACGAUACAGCCUUACAGACUACAAAAACAAGGACUUGAUUUAGUUUGUUGAGACAAGGUCCCAUGUGUUCCAGUCUGGCUCUGAACUUGCUACUUGACUGAGGCUGGCACUGAACUCCUGAUCUUCCUAAUCCAGUCUUUCAGGUAAUGAUGCUGCCACUCCCUUCUGAGGAACUCAGAAACAAUGGAAUUAUUGUGGCUCUUUCCUACUACCACCAUGCCUCAGGUUUGUUUUUUAAGGACUCAGCAAGUUUAACUUACAUAAAUGUGUUGUGGAUAAAAACAUUAUUUUAUUUAUUGAAAUUGAAAAGUAUUGAUAUUAUAACAAAAAACUUGGAGUUAAAAUGGUGAAAAUAAAGCAAUAUUAUGAAGUUUUUGCACAAAUUCACUCUGUUUAAAUAAAGUCCAGUUAGCAAAUAUUGUUUAUAGCAUGGGCUAAUAUCAACCUAAGACUUUCUUCCUAAAUAAAUUAAGAGAUAGUUGAAUUCUUAAUUUUGGCACAAUAUGAUCUAAUAGCCUCUCCUUGUGACAUCAAAAAGCCAUCUACAGAUGAGUCCCACACUUGAAGAACACUGUGAUAAAAUACAAACUUGAUAGUUCAAUAUAAUCUUCUUUCAAUUAACCUUUUUAAUCUCAUUUUAUCCUUCCCCAAAUGCCAUACCAACUAAAUUCCAGACAAAGGACUUAAAAGUUGACCACAUGAUUCCCCAUGAUAUAAGCUGAGAAAGCUAUUGUGCCUUUAUCUGAAGGUUUUGGAUGUGAAACUCUCAGGGACACCACCCAAAACACUUCUUGUUUAAUCUGACCAUGAUUGCUUCUUUCCUUGUUGUCACUGUGUCAGGCUUUUCCCAGCUCUCCUCUCCAGGAGGACAUUACCUUGGAUGUUGGUAGUCCAACAAAUAAGGACUUACCACAGUCUCUAGGGUGGUGUAGAUGACUCCCUCCUUGCAAGGUCUGCCCCUCAAAACUCAGGCCCUUCAAAGGAAACUAUUUUUUGUUUUGACCUUUGAAAAAUAAGAACCCUGUUGCUCAGUCUCGGUGGAAGAGUGUGGCGCCAGUUUUCAGUAAGAGCCAGGUGGUAUUUUAGAGCCUACUCCCCAUUUCUACUUUCUGUAAUUUCUCACUUUCCUUAGAUUAAUGACACAACAUUUCUGCAUAGGUUUGUUUUUUUUAAAAAAAAACAAAACAAAACAAAACAAAAACACAAUGUUCCCAUUCCACCCGCCACCCACUCCCCAGGGAGAGUGAGGCCUUCCAUGAGGGUUCAUAAACGUCUGUCACAUCAUCUGGGGAAGGUCCUAGGCCCUUCUCCAUGCAUCUGGACUCAGAUAGUAUCCCUCCAUGGGUAAUGGGCUUCCAAAGUCCAUUUGUGCACUAGGGAUAAAAAAUGGUUCCACGGUCAGAGACUGCCCAGGCCUCCUAACUGGCACCCACAUUCAGAGGGUUUGGUUUGGUUUAAUGGUGGUUCCCCAGCUUUACGACUGGGGUCUGUGUGCUCUCACUUUGUCAGGUCAGCUGUUCCUGUGGGUUUCUCUAGCAUGGUCUUGACCCCUUUGCUCAUCCCCCCUCCCUCUCUACAACUGGAUUCUAGGAGUGUGGCCCAGUGUUUAGCUGUGAGUGUCAGCUACUGGAUGGAGGCUCUAGGAUGGCAUUUAAGGUAGUCAUCAGUCUCAUUAGAGGGGAAGGGCAUUUAAGGUAGCCUCUCCACUAUUGCUUAGAUUCUUAGUUGGGAGUUGGUGAGCAGAAUGGGAGGAUAGGAGGGAGAGGGAACUGGGAUUGAUGUGUAAAAUAAGAUUGAUUCUAAAUUAAAUGAAAAGAAAAGCAAAAAAAAAAAAAAACAACAAAAUUUCAUUCAAUGGGAUGUUUUCUUUUAGUGAAUUUGGAGCUUCUGUGAUAGUUGUCUUUAGCUUGAUUCCUGACCACUCAAGUAGCACUUUAACAUCAGUACAUGAAGACCAACCAUAGAACAGAGGAGGCCAGUGAAACACAAACUUAAACUUUGUACAUAGUUGAAGAACUUUCCAGACACAGCAAGGGAAUAGAAACCAAUACAAUAUUGGAAGUCACAUAGUGAUGUUGGGCAAUGAAAAGUAGGAAAGGAAAGUCAAUCGGGGGUAGCUAUUAAUAAACACAGGCUCUAACAGAGAAGACUAUUUCCUAAUAAUUGCAUUCGAAGGAAAAGUGAACGUUUUAACUUCUAAGAAGCUAUAGCCAUUUCAUAAUGUCAAUUUUCCAAAAUUAUACAGUGGCAAUUAAAGCCCAGACCAGCGUGGGACAGUUAUUUUCACAAAUAUUUCCCACUGUGUUUGUCAAUAGAGGUGAUAAAAUGCCCUGAUCAAACAACAUUUAGUGACUACUGAAUGACACAGAAAGCUGAACACAUAGAAUUAUCCAGAACCCAUUCCAGUCCUACCACUUGCAAUCCUGAAUCAUCAUUUAGGAAUAAAAUCCAGCUAAAGCCCAAGAAGUGUGAUAGGGUUGUGCCAUUUCUCUGUCAGCUUCCUCCUCUGCAACAUGAAAGGAAAGAGCUAGAUGAUCUGUAAGUUUGAGAAUAAAAUUAGACUUGUCAGAGUAGAAUCUUCUUUUCUUUCAGAUGAAUAAAUCCAUGGCAGAGUCUGGGUGAGGAUUACAAAAUGAAUCCCAGUUUCCACAAGUAGGUAAACCAUGACUGUAACACUGAAGCAGGCUCAAGGAACAGUGUGUGUGUGUGUGUGUGUGUGUGUGUGUGUGUGUGUGUGUUGUUAUUGUUGUUAGCUGUACAGUUAGAUCACCAAACUAAGAAGACACAGUGUUUUCUGUACUCUAAAACACUAAUACAAUAAUGACUUGGUCUCCAACUCACGUCUUUCAAAAUUUAUCUUUAAAUUCGAUUUUUAAAAGUUUAUGUACUAAAACAGCAGACUGAGAUAAACAGAGAAGUAUCUAAACUGUAGUAGGGGGAACUGAUUGCCUAAGUCUUAGGAAAUAUAAAGUCAUGGUUUACUAUGGACUAUUCUUAGUCUUUUUUAUUUAUGGUUAUUUGACUCUAAGCUUACUAUUCAGAGAUUCUAAAACAAUAAACUAAUGUGACUUUUAGAUGCAUAGAAUACAUAGUCUAAAAGAAAUUCAAUGUUAAGCAUAGCAAAAGAAUAAUGAUUCUAUCUCUGGGUUAAAGAAAGUUAAAUUUGUAACCGUGAAGAAAUCAUGUAAUGUACAUCUCUAGUUCAAGCAAUGUGUCUAAAUCUAAAUGGAUCACUAUCUUUUCAUUCAACCCACUGUUGUAUAUGUACAGAAAUUAGGUUAAAAAAACCUAUGAAAGAAAACACUCAAUUCUUAAAACUCAAAGAGAAAUAAAACAAGACAAUAAAAUCCAAAGCAUGUGCCCAUUUGCAGAAGGAUGAUGGAGAAAGACCAUGGAUUUUUCACUGAACUUCCUUCUCCCACAACACACACAAGUGGUAGUAGAAGAUAAAAGAUUUUUCAGUCCUAUCUGCAUGUAAAUUUGGCUUCAAAACUUGCCAUUAAUCUUAGGCCAAACUUUUAUUCUUACUCCUAGUGAGUCACAUAAUAUACAAAAGUUACUUUAUCUAUAAUGGUGGAAACUACUUUUUGUUGCAGGAUGGACUUGAUGACCCUCAUGUUUUUUUACAGCUUAGUUGGGGUAAAUAGUGACUGACUUAGACAAAAAGUGGAGAUAGCAAGUCUCAUUAAUUUUACUCCACAUGAAAACAAUGGAGGACCUGAAAAUCCUGGCUCAAAGUGUAUGUGUGUGUGUGUGUGUGUGUAUGGUGGGGGGGAGGGGCAACAGGCUUCUCGUUAAGAUGUCACUUUAUGUUUUUUACCAUCUGUGUAUGUGUACUUCUUUGUGAGUGCACAUGUAUGGGGGGGUGUGCAUGCAUACUUGUCACAGCACACAUGUGAGAGUCAGAAAAUAGCUUGUUUGUAGGAGUCAGUUUUUUCCUACCAUCAUGUGGAUUCUGGGUAUUGAAUUGAGGUCAUUCAAGGGUUUUGUGGCAAGCAUGUCACCUGCUGAGUCAUGUCAUCAGCCUGAUCCUAUUUUCCAAAGUAAAUUUUCUCAUAUUUCUUCACACUUAAGAAAUGCUUAAAAUUGUUCCCAUUAUAAUCCUUUGCACAAGAUCAGUUGGACUAGAAUUCAAAGAAUCAAGAUAAAGUAGCACUGAACAUGAGCAAACAAAGUUAUUUAGGGACAUGGGGGAGAAAGAGAGCACAAAAGACACAAACUGCUAAAAGAAGGAGUAGAAAGAGAGGAAGAAAAGAAAACAAGAAUUAAAAAAAUCAGGGAAGGAAAUUGAAGGCAUAGUUAAUAGUCUAAGAGAUGAAUAUUGAAAAAGGAAGAGACUAAGACAGGAAUAAAGCAUGGGGAGGGUGGGAAAAUAUAAAGCAGAAACAGCAGAGCAGAAUGGCAAGAAAGAUGCUUGGGUUUAAGGGAAAGAAAGCACAUAAAGGCUAGUGAUCAGCAAAUACUUCUCAAAUAAAAACAGCAAGGGAACAUAUGCAAAUAGGAGGAUGGGCAGGGAAGAGUCACAGGAGCCCAGAACUGCUUGCUUUCUUUUGUGAGUGAAGUUUAGAAGAUGGAUGGGAAAUGAUUUACAGGCAUCCAAAAUCCUGCUGUGGUGUUGCUAAGGAUCUGGUAUUAUGAUGUCAGCCUCAGCUAAGGCUACCAGUUUCCUCUGCAGUAAACUACAGCAGCUGUAUUUACAUCCAUCUGCAGUUUGCAAGCUGUUGUAAUUCCCAUAAGCUGAGCAUAGAUAGGCUAGGAAAAUUCUGGACAUCAAAGAAAAAGAACCUGUUUAUAGUGUAAAAACUAAAUCAAUAAAUAAAAUCUUAUACCUAUUUACUGAUAGUCUUGUUGCUUUAAUUUAUAAAGUUUGGUGGGG
rnacentral:lncRNA from 1 species